rnacentral:rRNA from 1 species
UGGGGAAUUUUGGACAAUGGGCGAAAGCCUGAUCCAGCAAUGCCGCGUGUGUGAAGAAGGCCUUCGGGUUGUAAAGCACUUUUGUCCGGAAAGAAAUCCUUGGCUCUAAUACAGUCGGGGGAUGACGGUACCGGAAGAAUAAGCACCGGCUAACUACGUGCCAGCAGCCGCGGUAAUACGUAGGGUGCAAGCGUUAAUCGGAAUUACUGGGCGUAAAGCGUGCGCAGGCGGUUUGCUAAGACCGAUGUGAAAUCCCCGGGCUCAACCUGGGAACUGCAUUGGUGACUGGCAGGCUAGAGUAUGGCAGAGGGGGGUAGAAUUCCACGUGUAGCAGUGAAAUGCGUAGAGAUGUGGAGGAAUACCGAUGGCGAAGGCAGCACCCUGGGCCAAUACUGACGCUCAUGCACGAAAGCGUGGGGGAGCAAAACAGGAUUAGAUACCCCUGGUAGUCCACGCCCUAAACGAUGUCAACUAGUUGUUGGGGAUUCAUUUCCUUAGUAACGUAGCUAACGCGUGAAGUUGACCGCCUGGGGAGUACGGUCGCAAGAUUAAAACUCAAAUGAAUUGACGGGGUCAUAGCUGUUU